rnacentral:rRNA from 1 species
GUGGGGAAUAUUGCACAAUGGGGGAAACCCUGAUGCAGCAACGCCGCGUGAGUGAUGAAGGCCUUCGGGUUGUAAAGCUCUGUCUUUGGGGACGAUAAUGACGGUACCCAAGGAGGAAGCCACGGCUAACUACGUGCCAGCAGCCGCGGUAAUACGUAGGUGGCAAGCGUUGUCCGGAUUUACUGGGCGUAAAGGGAGCGUAGGUGGAUAUUUAAGUGGGAUGUGAAAUCCCAGGGCUUAACCUGGGGGCUGCAUUCCAAACUGGAUGUCUAGAGUGCAGGAGAGGAGAAUGGAAUUCCUAGUGUAGCGGUGAAAUGCGUAGAGAUUAGGAAGAACACCAGUGGCGAAGGCGACUCUCUGGACUGUAACUGACCCUGAGGCUCGAAAGCGUGGGGAGCAAACAGGAUUAGAUACCCGGGUAGUCC